UGGGGAAUUUUGGACAAUGGGCGCAAGCCUGAUCCAGCCAUGCCGCGUGCGGGAAGAAGGCCUUCGGGUUGUAAACCGCUUUUGUCAGGGAAGAAAUCUUCUGAGUUAAUACCUCGGGAGGAUGACGGUACCUGAAGAAUAAGCACCGGCUAACUACGUGCCAGCAGCCGCGGUAAUACGUAGGGUGCAAGCGUUAAUCGGAAUUACUGGGCGUAAAGCGUGCGCAGGCGGUUUUGUAAGACAGAGGUGAAAUCCCCGGGCUCAACCUGGGAACUGCCUUUGUGACUGCAAGGCUUGAGUGCGGCAGAGGGGGAUGGAAUUCCGCGUGUAGCAGUGAAAUGCGUAGAUAUGCGGAGGAACACCGAUGGCGAAGGCAAUCCCCUGGGCCUGCACUGACGCUCAUGCACGAAAGCGUGGGGAGCAAACAGGAUUAGAUACCCUGGUAGUCCACGCCCUAAACGAUGUCAACUGGUUGUUGGGAAGGUUCCUUCUCAGUAACGUAGCUAACGCGUGAAGUUGACCGCCUGGGGAGUACGGCCGCAAGGUUGAAACUUAAAUGAAUUAACGGGGUCAUAGCUGUUUCCUG
rnacentral:rRNA from 1 species